rnacentral:rRNA from 1 species
UGGUGGAGCGAUUUGUCUGGUUAAUUCCGAUAACGAACGAGACUCUAGCCUAUUAAAUAGUUGGUUGAUAAAGUCAGUUGAUGUUAACUUCUUAGAGGGACUAGUGGCGUUUAGCCACACGAGAAUGAGCAAUAACA